rnacentral:lncRNA from 1 species
AAUUAAUGAAAAUCAAAUGAAUUAAAACAAAAAUAAAAAAAUCAAAAAAACGCGAGCCACUUGAUCUCCCUCAUUAAUUGAGAUGGCAGAUCAAGUGGAUGGAAACGUGCGUUAAAUGGUGGAACUUAGUCAGCACGCACACGCGUGGUAAUCAAAACCAAUGCCUAAGAUUAAAACAUUUCAAAUAGAUCCUGUGGUCUGGAGACAUGCCAACACAUCGCCGGAGCCAUAGCUCUGGUCUUCUUCUCCGGUGGACCUCGCUGGACU